rnacentral:lncRNA from 1 species
AAUACGCUGACGUGGGUGGAGUUCCCUUGGUGAACAUGAGUCACCACUGCAGAAGAAGAAAUCACAUCAAGACAUAACAACAACAGAGAAAAUGUAUCCACAGGGUUACGACUGUUUCCUUCUUAGUUGUUGCCAUCAAACUGUAGAUUCUUUACUGAAGUUGGACUGAGGUGAACGAGGUUGACGGUUGGAGAUUUCACUAAAUUCUGUGGAUGUCCCUGACAAAUUCAAACGUCUUUCUGCUGAACGAGUCUUUAUUUAAAAUAAAUAUAAUGAUGAGCAUGCAACCCGCUGCGCCUUGGUCCUCUCUUCAUGAAGACAGACGUUGCAGAACUACCCACCAAAACUGGACCAAGCAGCGGAGGAAGGAGCAACAACAGGUGGAAUAUCGUGAGUCAUGGACUGGGGAGGACCGGAAUCGCUACUGGGGAACACGGCUGGCGAGGAAGCCGGAGAGGCAACCCCAAUAAUUUUUUUUGGGGGGCACACGGGUAGUUUGGCUGGGCGAGGAUUAAGUCCCAAGCCAAAUCCCCGUGUUUUUUCUAAACGACCAUUGACUGGACAGGUCCCGUGCUUUGGGGUGAUGGG